GGGGGUGUAGCUCAGUCGGUUAGAGCGCCUGCCUGUCACGCAGGAGGCCGCGAGUUCGAGUCUCGUCAUCCCCGCCA
rnacentral:tRNA from 2 species